AACGAACGCUGGCGGCAGGCUUAAUACAUGCAAGUCGAACGCUGUAGCAAUACAGAGUGGCAGACGGGUGAGUAACGCGUGGGAAUCUACCCAAUACUACGGAAUAGCUCCGGGAAACUGGAAUUAAUACCGUAUGUGCCCUACGGGGGAAAGAUUUAUCGGUAUUGGAUGAGCCCGCGUUGGAUUAGCUAGUUGGUGGGGUAAUGGCCUACCAAGGCGACGAUCCAUAGCUGGUCUGAGAGGAUGAUCAGCCACACUGGGACUGAGACACGGCCCAGACUCCUACGGGAGGCAGCAGUAGGGAAUAUUGGACAAUGGGCGAAAGCCUGAUCCAGCCAUGCCGCGUGAGUGAUGAAGGCCUUAGGGUUGUAAAGCUCUUUCAGUGGGGAAGAUAAUGACGGUACCCACAGAAGAAGCCCCGGCUAACUUCGUGCCAGCCGCCGCAGUAACAC
rnacentral:rRNA from 1 species